rnacentral:rRNA from 1 species
UACGUAGGGUGCGAGCGUUGUCCGGAAUCAUUGGGCGUAAAGCGCGUGUAGGCGGUUCGGUAAGUCUGCUGUGAAAGUCCAGGGCUCAACCCUGGGAUGCCGGUGGAUACUGUCGGACUAGAGUACGGAAGAGGCGAGUGGAAUUCCCGGUGUAGCGGUGAAAUGCGCAGAUAUCGGGAGGAACACCAAUUGCGAAGGCAGCUCGCUGGGACGUUACUGACGCUGAGACGCGAAAGCGUGGGAGCAACAGGAUUAAGAAACCCCGGUGAGCCC